UACGUAGGGUGCAAGCGUUGUCCGGAUUCACUGGGUUUAAAGGGUGCGUAGGCGGGUUGGUAAGUCAGUGGUGAAAUCUCCAAGCUUAACUUGGAACUGCCGUUGAUACUAUCAAUCUUGAAUAUUGUGGAGGUAAGCGGAAUAUGUCAUGUAGCGGUGAAAUGCGUAGAUAUCUGGAGGAACACCGGUGGCGAAGGCGGCAUCCUGGACCAACACUGACGCUGAGGAGCGAAAGCCAGGGGAGCAA
rnacentral:rRNA from 1 species